GCAUAUCAAUAAGCGGAGGAAAAGAAACUAACAAGGAUUCCCCUAGUAACGGCGAGCGAAGCGGGAAGAGCUCAAAUUUGAAAGCUGGCACCUUCGGUGUCCGCGUUGUAAUCUCGAGACGUGUUUUCCGUGUGGCGCUAUGGACAAGUCCCUUGGAACAGGGCAUCGUAGAGGGUGAAAAUCCCGUACUUGCCAUGGNUGUACCAUGCUUUGUGAUACACGCUCUAAGAGUCGAGUUGUUUGGGAUUGCAGCUCAAAAUGGGUGGUAGACUCCAUCUAAAGCUAAAUAUCGGGGAGAGACCGAUAGCGAACAAGUACCGUGAGGGAAAGAUGAAAAGCACUUUGGAAAGAGAGUUAAAAGUACGUGAAAUUGUCGAAAGGGAAGCGCUUGAAGUCAGCCAUGCUGCUUGAGACUCAGCCUUGCUUUUGCUUGGUGUAUUUCUCGGUAGCAAGCCAGCAUUGGUUNGAGUCGUCGGAGAAGGGUAUGAGAAAUGUGGCAUCCUCGGAUGUGUUAUAGNCUUGUACUGGAUACGACGAUUUGGAUCAAGGAACGCAGUGUGCCUCUGGCGGGUCUUCGGACACCUUCACACUUAGGAUGCUGGCGUAAUGGCUUUAAGCGGCCCGUCUUGAAACACGGACC
rnacentral:rRNA from 1 species